rnacentral:lncRNA from 1 species
UCCCAAUGUCAUUGUAUGCAUGUUCCAAGGUUUGUUUAACUAAUCCCCUAUUGUUGUGCACGUAGGUCCUCUCUAAAGUUUUUGUUAUGAUAAACAACAGACCUGGGCUUCUUUUUUUUUUUUUUUUUUUUGCCCACAUUCCCACAGUAAUUUCCUUAAGGGUGAAUUCCCAGAAGGCGAGGCUGAGAGGAGGCGAGGGCUUUUGUUUUCCAAAUGUUUGUAACAUCUUUGGAUCAAUUACAUAUAAUUUGUAAACACAGGUUGUGCCAUUGAGAGAGGGAAGGUUGACACCUUUCCCAACCUGUCGGGGCUUUGCCCAACCUAGAAUUAUAGGAGUUGUAAACAAGCCUUCUAAUGGCCCCGGAUUAUCUGCGGCCAUUGUCAGGUCAUGUAGGGGCGGUAAUUUAUUGAACAGAGUUUUCAAAUGUGCCCAAGUACACCUGGGUGGAACGGAAAACGGGCGGGGCUGCGGAGAGGAGGUGGGUGCGGUGGUUGGGGCAGCUCGUGGGCAGCGGGUGGUACUCGUGUUGGGGCUGGCUCUGAGCCUCCCAUUCCAGCACCCCUUCUAUCUGAUGAGAAGCCCAGGGAGCUGUCCCAGGAGUGAGCUGCCCCCGGGGCUGCUUGGGGAAGACAGGGGUGGGGGGGUGAGGGUGGAGGCUGUGCGGGCAUGUGGAGGUAACAAGUCGUGCCCUGUUCCUACAAGGCCGUGGGUGCCAUUUCAACACGGUUAUUAUCUUGCUUCAGCUGCCAAGAAACACCAGCUGGUGACGGCGAAACGCCCCUGAAGAAUUUCUUCAGGGAAGUUAUGCACCAACGAAACCGUCUCUCAUGCCACGAAUGUUGUGAGGUAGGAGGAUUUUCUCUGUGUGGGGCGCCCUGCCCCUCGCUGUCCCUCCAGGCUCCCCUUACCGAUCUGGUCACAUUCUUCGGACGUCACUUGCUUGACCACAUUACAUGGCUUCCAGGCCACCUGCUCUCCCAGCAGCCCAGAGAAGCCGUGGGGUGGGGACUUUAUGGGUCCACGCAGCGUAUCAGUUGGGCAGAACCAGUCUGGACUUCAAUCUGGGUGUUCGAGGAGAGGUAUGGCCCAAUUUCCUACGCAGGCAGGGCAAAUGGAGUCAAGGAGACAGUCCCGGCCCGUGAGGGGCUGAUCCUCAAACAGGACAACAAGCGUCAUGGCCUGGGAGAGCCUCCUUCAGGUAGAGGUCAGCAUGACAGGCCACAUCUUGUCAGCCUCCGUGGAUGCUGA